rnacentral:rRNA from 1 species
UACGUAGGGGGCCAGCGUUGCUCGGAAUUACUGGGUGUAAAGGGUUCGUAGGCGGUGUGGCAAGUCGGGAGUGAAAUCUCUGGGCUCAACCCAGAGUCUGCUUCCGAAACUGCUGUGCUUGAGUGUGGGAGAGGCGCGUGGAAUUGCAGGUGUAGCGGUGAAAUUCGUAGAUAUUCGCAAGAACACCAGUGGCGAAGGCGGCUCACUGGCCCGAUACUGACGCUGAGGCACGAAAGCGUGGGGAGCAAACAGG